ACUGAAGUGACUUUGAUUCAGUGACUGAGGAAUCCUCUUUUGACUCCAGGUGGAAGCCUUUGGUUUCUCUGCACCCUCUACUGCCUGAAACAGCGCUGUGGGUCCUCACACCUCUCUGAGUCGAUCCUUCCCUUUCCGGAGACUGCCACCUCCUGGUGAGCACUGAGCGCGUUUCUCACGUUACUGCGCCUGCCGCUGCCCUCACGGCUAUCAUCGUUACCUCAGCACGCCCAGCUGCAGAUCCCAGCACGCAGCGCCGGACCGCACUGCAAGCAGCGAACCCUUCCUGGCCCAGCGAUCCUUCCCAACAACUCUGACUGCAGCCGAACCCCGCCGAGGAGCCGCGCUUCCAUACGGGGCUGUUCUCUAUUCAUUUCUAGUUCGUUUUUACAGAUUUUGACUGGGUGAGCUGAGUGCAUGAAGCACUCGUGCAAAAGCAGUUAAGCUUCUGUCCUCUGGCCGUCAUACACAAAUACGUGGAAAAAGAUAAAUACUCAGUGCAAAUGCAACCCACUGUACUGAGAAGUUACAAUCUGCACUACGUUCAGGAGUUGGUAUAGGACUCUCUUAAGCAGAGGCCCAGUUUGAAGCGCAGCCAUCAGUCUUUGAUGGCUCUGCUUUUACUCCCUGCAUACAGAGCACACCUCAAGUUGGAGCUACCUGAGAUUACAGAGCUCACCUCCACCCUCACUGGCUCUGAAGCACUGAGCAAUCACAUUAUUCAGUCUGCGGUAAUACCCCUUGGUUCCUCCAGCUGUUCAUGCUGCUGUUUGCAUUCCUGCAUGCAGUGGUAGCACAAAGCAAGGCUUCAGAAAACACCCUCUGAAUUUUGGGCAGCCCAUUCCUUCAUUUUGAUGUCAACUCUGUAUUAUUUAUUAGCUCAGUUUCAUGAGGCAGAAUUUUUCCUUCUAAUACAGAGCAGUGCUUGAAAAUUUGUAAUCUACCUUUGUAUUUUCUUCUGAGCAGCAGAAAAAAGAACAACCCAAACAGCAGCCAAUCCUUAACGCCCACAGACAGCAGCAUUCCAGCUCUGGAGCGCGGUAGAACCGACUGCCUCAGCUGCAUGGCCACAGCAAGAACAGCAAUGAUUCCUUCUGUUUCCAGGAGAGGAGACGACAGAAGGGAAAUACAAAUCUUUUUCCAGUAUAAGGGCUGGAAGGAACUGCAAAUAAGCCUUUAAGAACAAUGCAAAACCAGCUAUAUUACAUCAUCACCUGGGCCUUUCAAUGAAAGGAAAGUAGUAGUGAUGGCCUGAGAAGAAUAACCCCCUCCUAUUCUUUCCUGAUGAGGCUGUACUGUGACAUGGUUUGUCAGUUAGGAACAGCCAUUUGCUUGAAACCAGGUAAGACAAAUGUGGUUUGUCCAUCACCCUCCUCUCCAGCACAUCCAACAGACAACACAUGCAUUUGGCCUCUCCCAGCCAACCAGAGGCAGUGCAUUAAGAGGCCUCUCUCACACCGGGUCACAGCAAACGUGCACUCUUACCCAACUGUAGGCGAAAAAGACUUCAGUUCUUUCGCUCCAGGUCCAGGAAGGCCAAACAACAAACAUUUGUUGUCCCCCAUCUACACUUACCUGCUUGGUAUUGUCCACAGCAAACUUAAGACAACUGCUAUGAAAUAAUAUCUCUGUGAAAAAGCAACCUCAAUUUUAUCAGGACACGUAAGACCAACCGGAAGCACGAGAUGCUCUGGACCCAACUUCCCACCUUUCUGUGGCACUCAGGGCAGACAUACACCAAAAUAACAUUUCCCCAUACCGCAGAACUGCCGCCUCCAUUUCUGGUUCUCAACAGGCAACUUUAAACCAAGAAUAAAACCAACAACUGCCUUCCCAUUUGUACAACAGCUUCCUAAGAACCGUGACAGCCCCUAGAAGAAUAGUACAGAAAAUAGCUAUUUUUCCACUGUCUUUAUUGGUAAGAGUGGGUGGAAAUUGUGACAACUGUCUUCACAUAACCAUCGCUUCCUCUCUGAGAUGUUUGGAUGGCUACCCCAAGCGACCACACGUUUGGUAAGAGCACGAAUGGUUACAGACUUUUUAACUGAAAGGAAAAGGAAAAAAAAAAAAGGAAAAAGAAAACCACAACCACACUUUUUUUGUCAACAUGUAAUGCCCUGGGUUUAUUUUGUGAGAGUUCUGUCACAAUUUUUCCAGGUGGGAUUAAAAACCUUAAGGAUAAUGUAUGCCAUUGGAGUGGGCAUUCAGACUUCGGUACUGACAAAGCACUAAUAGUAGUCUGUUAAGUACCAUUCUCUUCACAGAAGAGAGGUCAAAUAUUUCCAAAGGAAGGCACCCGAUAGUUGUGGUUCUGGCCUUGCAGCCUUCUGGAGAAUCUUAAAAGGAAAAAAGCUGGCUGUUUU